rnacentral:rRNA from 1 species
GACGAACGCUGGCGGUGUGCUUAACACAUGCAAGUCGAACGGUAAGGCCCUUUCGGGGGUACACGAGUGGCGAACGGGUGCGUAACACGUGAGUGACCUGCCCUCAUCUCUGGGAUAACAGUCGGAAACGGUUGCUAAUACUGGAUAUGAGCUUGCAAGGCAUCUUGUGGGUUGGAAAGAUUUUUUUGGUUGGGGAUGGACUCGCGGCCUAUCAGCUUGUUGGUGAGGUAGUGGCUCACCAAGGCGUCGACGGGUAGCCGGCCUGAGAGGGCGACCGGCCACAUUGGGACUGAGAUACGGCCCAAACUCCUACGGGAGGCAGCAGUGGGGAAUAUUGCACAAUGGACGGAAGUCUGAUGCAGCAACGCCGCGUGCGGGAUGACGGCCUUCGGGUUGUAAACCGCUUUCAAUUGUGACGAAGCUUUUUGUGACGGUAGCAGUAGAAGAAGCACCGGCUAACUACGUG